rnacentral:lncRNA from 1 species
UUCGCCCAUGGCUCAACAACAACAACAAACACGUAUAAAGAAAUGCCCAAGAAAAAUUUUAAUAUACAUGGCUUGCACGAGGGCAAGCAACACAAGCAAGUGAAAAUAAACUAACUAAAGCAUUCAUACAUUGUAUCUUGAUUACUUUAAAUCAAAUACAAAGCUUGUAUAAUUAUUACAUUCAUUCUUCCAAUAUAUACAUUACCAUCUCUCAAAUGAAUAAUUUAUAUUUACUUUCAUCAACUAUAAACAAAUGAAAUAAAUAAAGUACAACUAUACUCAAUGGAUGUCGCAUCUAUAGCGCGCUGUUCCUGUCACGAUCCUCGACCACUCCGCAUGAACUAGAACCUGCAUGGUUAGUGGGGUAAGAACUACUGAAAGUUCCCAGUAGGUUCGGCCGACGACCUCGCCGACUCACCCACUAGGUCUUUUCAGGCAUAUGUAGGCAAGAAAAAGAAUAGAUAGUAACCAGCUAUAACAUAUAACUACUACAAUGCCUAUACAAAGCUGAAAGAAACAGUAGAUAAUAUCUGAAUUGAUGCAUGCAUGUUUUUCAUAAUUAUUACCCAAUUAAACGGGUUAACCAUUUGGUUAACAAUAACUCACCGACGAAAUCCCAAGUAUCGGGGAGACGCAAGCUACAUCCCCACGGGACUGUCUACUGGGGGAUACGCUAGCUCCUAAUCCAGUUGAGAUGACUACUCCGGAGCUCAUCGCUCAAGGAGAAGCGACCUUCCUUGAGCAUAAGACUAUUGUGAGUAUGAUCUGAUCCUCUUUUAGAGGGUCCAAUGCAUGACAAUGCCACACUUUACUCUAACUAGCUCUUUAUGCUAGUUUUACAAUUUCACUCCCGAUGCUAACCAAAUCUCUAGUCAUGAUGUCACCAAAUUUACUAUUGUCAUAGUCCUCAAUAAAAUUCACACAUUCAUAGGGUUCUACGUUCAUGUUCUAGUGCCCAUAUGUUCUUUACACUGACGGAAUUCAAUUGCAUAAUGACCCUUUCCCUAUAAUGCAUGAAUAUGAUACAAUUCACAUAUAUAGAGAUACUCAACGAGAUGACAUAGACAUAAAGAGAGAUUCAAAGAUUUCGGAUAGCACCACCCACCUGUAGGGAUACCGAAACGUUAGAACCAAUAUCUCGAAGCUCACAAGUAUCAAGUCCUCGUGACUCGAUGUGAAUAAAGCUAGAACGACGUCUAUUGUAGUUAGCGCACCGUAGAUUCGUCGGAAUGUCGAUUUGAACUUCCGAGCAUGUCUAACCUUCAUUUAUAAAGGAACAAAAGGGAUUAAAUGUAAGUCACAUUCACAUCCUUAUAAACUUUGCAUUUCGACUCCAACUUGUCCAUAUAGGAGCUUUGUAUGUAUAAGGUUGGUUAUAUAAGCUCAUGAUACUUAGAAGUCCUCUACUUAACAUUUCCUUACAGCAAUUAACUCUAUUCUACUUCACAAAUUCAGAUUAACUUAUUCCAACUUUCAUUCCCAACUAUCCACUAUAUGUACAUACAUACAUAGAGCUAGUUCUAUCAGUUCUCUAUGAUGCUUAGAAUUUCAGCUCACAACAAUCCUUUAUCAACUCCUUAACACAGCAGGGAACAUCAUUUAAACCAGGGAAUUGAAUCAAUUCAUCCCUGAUUUCACUAUUAAUUACAGCUUAUAUACAUACUAUUCAUAAACAUAUAGAUAGAUAUAUGCAUAUACAUAUAAGCUGCCAGCAACAAUUCCCUUAAGCCUUUUCAUGGUAUUAAGAGCCCUAAUAUUUAAACUUGCAAUUUAGGCCUCUUUAGAAGGUGAUUACACAGUAUUCAGGACCUCUAAUUCAAGCUUCCUUUUGAUAAAUAAUUACUCUAACUCAUCAUAGAAUUAGCACUUAAGUUUCACAUGCUAUCAACUUAGCAUGGUUUGUAGAUUCUCAUGGCACUUGAGAGCUUUAACAAUCCAAAUUAGUGAUUCAAAUCCUUCCCUAGGUUGAAUACAAUAAUACUAAACAGGAAUUAGGACUGUCC